rnacentral:misc_RNA from 1 species
AACGCACAUUGCGCCCUCUGGUAUUCCGGAGGGCAUGCCUGUUCGAGCGUCAUUUCAACCCUCAAGCCUGGCUUGGUGAUGGGGCACUGCUUCUUACCCAAGGAGCAGGCCCUGAAAUUCAGUGGCGAGCUCGCCAGGACCCCGAGCGCAGUAGUUAAACCCUCGCUCUGGAAGGCCCUGGCGGUGCCCUGCCGUUAAACCCCCAACUUCUGAAAAUUUGACCUCGGAUCAGGUAGGAAUACCCGCUGAACUUAA